rnacentral:lncRNA from 1 species
UAAAAGUUCCAGCAAUUAUGAAUAUUUUCUAAGCAGUCUAGGACACAAAACAAAAGCCUAGAACCCUUAUGGACCCCUUGCCACACUCCCUUGCCCUUUCCUCUUCCUUGCCGUGCAAGGGAGAGGGCUCUUUCCUGUUUUGGAGCAUUAAAACACCUUCCUUUUUAUGCUUUAAACCCUGGCCGAAUUUCCUUGACCUUUCCUUUUAAUUUUCUGAUUUGUUUCCUUAAUUCUAGAAGCUUUAAACUUAAUUCCUGAUUACCUAAUUAGCCUAGGGUUUUAAUUUCCUAAUCCCUUUAAAUAAACAGGUUUGUGCAGCCACAAACAUCACCAUUCAGCCACACACUCUCCCAAAUUCGUCAAACCCCAUCCACAACCUCAGAAACCAUUCCUCCUCCAUCUCUGCCGAUUUCCACCACCAUUCUUCAUCUCCACACCUUCCACACAACACCCAUACACUACCCCCAAGCCUUGCCGUGCCCCUACACCAUCCAUAAUCCAUUCUACAUCACAC